ACGGUUUCAAAAUGUGAAUCAGCCAAUUUAAAUCGUUGAUUUGCUUGCAAGUGACAAAAUGCUAAAUUGUAGCUGAUCCCAUCAGAUAACAUGGCACGUGUUAGCCCUAUGCUAACCUCAGGUGGCAGUGAUUAUAUCCUGGAACAAAUUCUUCAUCAACACAUCAAAGAAGUUAGACUUUAUACCCACCAACCAAAGGCAUUUCUUAAAAUGGGUCAACCCUGGCUACUAGAGGGAUAUUUUAAACCUACAAAUUCAAUGUUUAAUCCUUUCCUAACAGUCAGGUCCUUUCCUAAUGGUCUCCUGUCAGGUCCUUUCCUAACGGUCUCCUGUCAGGUCCUUUCCUAAUGGUCUCCUGUCAGGUCCUUUCCUAAUGGUCUCCUGUCAGGUCCUUUCCUAAUGGUCUCCUGUCAGGUCCUUUCCUAACGGUCUCCUGUCAGGUCCUUUCCUAAUGGUCUCCUGUCAGGUCCUUUCCUAACGGUCUCCUGUCAGGUCCUUUCCUAACUGUCUCCUGUCAGGUCCUUUCCUAAUGGUCUCCUGUCAGGUCCUUUCCUAACAGUCAGGUCCUUUCCUAAUGGUCUCC
ensembl:lncRNA